UGCCAGACUCCUACGGGAGGCAGCAGUGGGGAAUAUUGGGCAAUGGGCGAAAGCCUGACCCAGCAAUGCCGCGUGAAUGAAGAAGGUCUUAGGAUUGUAAAAUUCUUUCCUAUGGGAAGAAACAAAUGACGGUACCAUAGGAGGAAGCCCCGGCUAACUACGUGCCAGCAGCCGCGGUAAUACGUAGGGGGCAAGCGUUAUCCGGAUUCACUGGGUGUAAAGGGAGCGUAGACGGCGACGCAAGUCUGGAGUGAAAGCCCGGGGCCCAACCCCGGGACUGCUCUGGAAACUGCGGCGCUGGAGUACGGGAGGGGCAGGCGGAAUUCCUGGUGUAGCGGUGAAAUGCGUAGAUAUCAGGAGGAACACCGGCGGCGAAGGCGGCCUGCUGGACCGUGACUGACGUUGAGGCUCGAGAGCGUGGGGAGCAAACAGGAUUAGAUACCCGAGUA
rnacentral:rRNA from 1 species